GAUUGAACGCUGGCGGCAGGCCUAACACAUGCAAGUCGAGCGGCAGCGACUUAACUGAACCUUCGGGGAACGUUAAGGGCGGCGAGCGGCGGACGGGUGAGUAAUGCCUGGGAAUAUGCCCUGAUGUGGGGGAUAACUAUUGGAAACGAUAGCUAAUACCGCAUAAUCUCUUCGGAGCAAAGAGGGGGACCUUCGGGCCUCUCGCGUCAGGAUUAGCCCAGGUGGGAUUAGCUUGUUGGUGAGGUAAUGGCUCACCAAGGCAACGAUCCCUAGCUGGUCUGAGAGGAUGAUCAGCCACACUGGAACUGAGACACGGUCCAGACUCCUACGGGAGGCAGCAGUGGGGAAUAUUGCACAAUGGGGGAAACCCUGAUGCAGCCAUGCCGCGUGUAUGAAGAAGGCCUUCGGGUUGUAAAGUACUUUCAGUAGGGAGGAAGGCAGUGUCGUUAAUAGCGGCAUUGUUUGACGUUACCUACAGAAGAAGCACCGGCUAACUCCGUGCCAGCAGCCGCGGUAAUACGGAGGGUGCGAGCGUUAAUCGGAAUUACUGGGCGUAAAGCGCAUGCAGGCGGUCUGUUAAGCAAGAUGUGAAAGCCCGGGGCUCAACCUCGGAACAGCAUUUUGAACUGGCAGACUAGAGUCUUGUAGAGGGGGGUAGAAUUUCAGGUGUAGCGGUGAAAUGCGUAGAGAUCUGAAGGAAUACCGGUGGCGAAGGCGGCCCCCUGGACAAAGACUGACGCUCAGAUGCGAAAGCGUGGGGAGCAAACAGGAUUAGAUACCCUGGUAGUCCACGCCGUAAACGAUGUCUACUUGGAGGUUGUGGCCUUGAGCCGUGGCUUUCGGAGCUAACGCGUUAAGUAGACCGCCUGGGGAGUACGGUCGCAAGAUUAAAACUCAAAUGAAUUGACGGGGGCCCGCACAAGCGGUGGAGCAUGUGGUUUAAUUCGAUGCAACGCGAAGAACCUUACCUACUCUUGACAUCCAGAGAACUUCUCUAGAGAUGGCAUUGGUGCCUUCGGGAACUCUGAGACAGUGCUGCAUGGCUGUCGUCAGCUCGUGUUGUGAAAUGUUGGGGUUUAGUCCCGCACGAGCGCACCCUUAUCCUUGUU
rnacentral:rRNA from 1 species